UKAAGGGUGAACCUGAGAAACCCGAAARGUCGAARGAAGWAAUUCAUUCGCGGUUCGACGCGGACGUCGCGAGGUCGCGCGACGCGAGACUUCCGCGACUGUUUACAGGUCGAGCGCGCCUUCUUUGCGUCGAAUCCGCGACGAGCGCGUGCACUUUUCUUCUGGUAGGACGUCGCGAUCCGUUGGGCGUCAGUCUACGGCGCGCGGUGGAGCCCGCGCGGUGGCUUCGCGCCACCGUCGGACCCGCGCGUUUUCCGGCUGACACGCUCGACGGUAUACGAAAGGUCAGGGGCCGCUCGCUUUACGGAGCGUUCGACUCUCGGCAAGCGCGCCAGACGCGUCGGCGAUCGGACCUCGUGCCGAUUCCGGCCUCUGGCGACUGUUGGCCGUUGAAGUUCUCGAACAGACCCCGCGACCGAUCGGCGACGCUAUAGCUUUGGGUACUUUCAGGACCCGUCUUGAAACACGGACCAAGGAGUCUAGCAUGUGCGCGAGUCAUUGGGAAUCACUAAACCUAAAGGCGAAAUGAAAGUAAAGGUCUUCCUAGCGGAGACCGAGGGAAGAUGGGCGGUUCGCCGUUAAAAGCGGCCGUUCGGCAUUCCCGGGGCGUCUCGUUCUCAUCGCGAGAAGAGGCGCACCAAGAGCGUACACGCUGGGACCCGAAAGAUGGUGAACUAUGCCUGGUCAG
rnacentral:rRNA from 1 species